GUUAUGGAUUUGCAUCAUUUAAAGAAGAUAAAUUCUUGACAUAUAUGUAUAUGUGUAUACAUAUAUCACCUAAGCUUUUGUUCCUGUGGUCCUCAAAACUUUGGGAGAUUAUUUUUUAUUGGUUGCUUGCUUGGGGACCCUCCAAUGCAUAACUACUCACAUGCCUGUGUGUGCAUGAACUUCAAAGUGAGACCACAUGAAAAGAUGUGUCUCACCGAUCUUGCCUUAUAUAAUUCAUUUCAUGUCAUUCCUCGUCAGAUAAAAAAUCAGAUUGUACUACUCAACAACGAAGUUAUUUUCACAAAUUUCUUUUUUCCAAGUUCACUGGCUUAAGGUAAAAUGAUCAGCACAAAGAAACUCGUCAAGAUAGUAAGGAAAUGGCAGCAUAGCAGCCCCAAAAGGAAAAAUAUUUCAUUGCCAAGAGCCAGCAUAGAUGCAAAAUAAAACACUAGUAAUAAGCAUAUCUCAGCAACCCAAUCAUUAGAGAACUCUUCAAAAUGCCAGAGGAGGAGCUUGGCCUACCCGAUGAUGGACCAAUUAGUUUGCCUUGUGAUGCAGUUUUCAUGGAGAAUGUCAUCUCUUUGACUAAAAGGCAUUCAAAACAUGAUGUUGAGAUCGCAUUGGUCAUGUCCAUGUCUACUGGUUGCUGCUUACCAGUUCCAAGUCUGCAUCCAGAGCAAAGUAACCAACAGUCACUAUCUUGUGGCUUUUGAAGAUGAUUUUUCUAAACAGGUUAGAGUGCUUUACAUUGAUAGUUAAUAAAUUAAUCCAACGAAGAAUCUGUGAGUUUCUUCCCAAUUAGCUGGUUGCUUUUUUUAUUAUCUUUAAAGAGGGAGUAAAAAAAUUGCUUAUUAUGUCCAUGGCUACUCGUUGCUGCUUACCAAUUUCAAGUCUAUACAGAGAGCAAUACAACCAGCAUUCAUAGUUUGUGGCUUUUGAAGGAUUUUCAUUCUUGUAGAAAGGCUAUACUGCUGAACGGAUUAUAGUAAUUCAACGAAGAAGUUCAGAGUAUAUUCCGUAACUGGAUACUCUUCUUUACCAUCUUUGAAGAUAGAACUUCCGAAUCAUCAUCACACCUAAUAAAGUUUCACAAUGUAAAUCACCACUUCAAAAAUAUAUAUCUAUAAUUAGCACCCGUGAAAGUUGUUCCAUUUGAUAGAAAACCAUGGGUUACAUAUAAUUCACAAACUAAGAACCUAGUCAAGGAAUUUUCUACUGAUUUUGGUAAUC